rnacentral:lncRNA from 1 species
UAUCUCAUCAUACUUUGAACCACACUAUUAUUUUAUUUAUUAUUAUUACUUUUACUGUUAAGUCUGUUUUUGUUAUAUCUAUUUUACGUGACUGUAUUUAUGUAUCCCGUCAUACUUUGAACGACAAAAUUAUUUCAUGUUUACCUGUGCGAAUUUCAAACGCGCAAUUUUACACCAGUACUUAAAACCCUCCAUCCUUUGUGGGUGCAUUUUACAUAGAUAAAUUAAAUCGUAUAAUAUAAACAAAAUGAGGAUAUUAAAUUUGCUGUAUGCCUUUUUGUGCUUCUUCGUUACAUUUGUUGUUUUUAUAGUGAUUUAGAGGAUAACACAAUGUUGACUGCUGUACCCCUAUUUUUUUUACCUUUUUACCUAUUGUGUCUGUUUGUUUUGUUCACGCAUCGGUGACAAUAUAAUGGAAUUUGAUGCGACUGUCAUACAAGUGAGAGGUUUAGCUAGCUAUAAAACCAGGUUCAAUCCACC